rnacentral:rRNA from 1 species
AGUGAACGCUGGCGGUAGGCCUAACACAUGCAAGUCGAACGGCAGCACAGUAAGAGCUUGCUCUUACGGGUGGCGAGUGGCGGACGGGUGAGGAAUACAUCGGAAUCUACUUUUUCGUGGGGGAUAACGUAGGGAAACUUACGCUAAUACCGCAUUCGACCUACGGGUGAAAGCAGGGGAUCUUCGGACCUUGCGCGAUUGAAUGAGCCGAUGUUGGAUUAGCUAGUUGGCUGGGUAAAGGCCCACCAAGGCGACGAUCCGUAGCUGGUCUGAGAGGAUGAUUCGACAGACUGGAACUGAGACACGGUCCAGACUCCUACGGGAGGACGCAGUGGGGAAUAUUGGACAAUGCGCGCAAGCCUGAUCCAGCCCUAUCGCGUGAGUGAAGAAGGACUUCGGGUUGUAAAGCCAUUUUGUUGGGAAAGAAAAGCAGCAGGUUAACACCCCGCUGUUCUGACGGUACCCAAAGAAUAAGCACCGGCUAACUUCGUG